rnacentral:rRNA from 1 species
UACGUAGGGUGCAAGCGUUUGUCCGGAAUCACUGGGCGUAAAGGGCGCGUAGGCGGCUUUGUAAGUCGGGGGGUGAAAGCCUGUGGCUCAACCACAGAAUUGCCUUCGAUACUGCAUGGCUUGAGACCGGAAGAGGUAAGUGGAACUGCGAGUGUAGAGGUGAAAUUCGUAGAUAUUCGCAAGAACACCAGUGGCGAAGGCGGCUUACUGGUCCGGUUCUGACGCUGAGGCGGCGAAAAGCGUGGGGAGCAAACAGG